CCUAUCUCGGGCCGCCGCGCCUAGGCCCGUGAGCAGCCUGUGGUGGGGCAUGGCGGCACAGCCACCGGCGUGCCCGCGAGGCCUCGGGACCCAGACCAGGAUUUCCAUCAGCUCCCCUGGCUCGCAGGCCUUCUGACUUCUGACUCACCAUCAGCUCUCCUGGAUCCAGCUUGCCAAUGGCAGAUCGUGGGACUCCUUGCCCUCUAAUCGCAUGAAACAAUGCCCACAAGAGAAAAUAAAAGCAGUCAGAGGAGAAUGGAGAAUUUCCCCUAUUCCCCAGCAUGUGGAGCCAUGGACUCUGCCUUCUCCCAGUCAAGAUGGGGCAGGUCUCACUAUGUUGCCCAUUCUGGUCUUGAACUCUUGGACUCAAGCAAUCCUCCCACCUCGGACUUCCAAAGUGCUGGAAUCACAGGCUUGAGAUACCAUGCCCAGCCAAUUUAUUGUGGUUAAGUAUAUAUAAUAGAAUUUACCAUUUUAAGUGUUUUCAAGUAUACAAUUCAGGGGCACGAAUUACUUUCACAAUGUUGUCCAACCAUCAACACUGUCCACUUCUAGAAUUUUUCAUCAUUCCAAACAGAAACUGCAUACUCCUUAACCAAUAGCUUCCAUUCUCCCCUGCCCCCCAGCCCCUAGUAGCACCAUUCUACUUUCUGUCUCUGAAUUCGACUACGCUGGG
rnacentral:lncRNA from 1 species